rnacentral:lncRNA from 1 species
CAGAAUUCUGUGGAAAAAGAUUAAGGAAGUCUCCACUAGCAACUUCACAUAAGCACGAAAAUAUACAAUUUAAUCAAACUACCCAAACGAUAGAAUUUUAGGAAAUGGAAAUGGGUCUUGGGUUGAGAAGGGUGGUUUGGGCUUAAACCCAAACCCACACUCACACACACGUACUGUACACACACACAGGGCCUGCACACACACACUGUGCAGCCCAAAACACACCCACACACUUCAUGCACAUGCACGGACACACACACACACACAACCCACACACAUGUACGCCAGCACACGUGUCACAUGCAUGCACAUCACACCAUACACAUCACACAACACACACACUGUACGGACACCAACAUGCCAAACACACACACACAGACAGCAUGCAUAUAUAUAUAUAAACACACACACACAGACAGCAUGCAUAUAUAUAUAUAGGGGUUUCUCCAUUUUAAUCCUUAAUAAAGAUUGAAAUUCAAUUAAAACCUUAUGUUAGAUUAUAUAUUCAUUAUAGUCCUUUGACUAAAUUUCCAUGUCAGCAUAAAUAUUAAAAUUUAUAUUUUCUUGUUUUUAAAUAUUUAAUGCGUUUUUUUGGUUCCUAUAAUGCCCCUAUUAAAUAUUUGAUUUUAAUUUGCUCCAUAUUUUUUGCAUUGAUUAUUGUCUGACUUUCUAAAAUGAUAAACAUAAUUCAAAAAAAUAUUAGUGAUACAUUACAAGAAUUAACAAAUACCUAAUUCAAAUUAUUCAUUAUCACCAUUCAAAGCCUAGAGGAAAUAUAAAUAGCCAAAUCAUAUAUUUUACAUAAUCGAAUGCACUUAAACCAUGUCCUAAUGUGCUUAAAUCAUAUAACCUAGUCGAAUGCACCUAAACCAUGGUACUUAUAUGAAUGCACCUAAAUUAUGGUACUUAUAUGAAUGCACCUAAACCAUUACCUAUGGUCUUGUAUAUGAAUGCACCUAAAUCAUGGUACCUAUAUGAAUGCACCUAAAUCAUAGUACCUAUAUGAAUGCACCUUAAUCAUUUAGGUACUAUCAAUUAGGUCUUAUCCAUUCGGUAUGGUCGGUUAGGUACUAUAUAGUGUAUGUCCGAUUAAUUUGGUACGGUCAAUUAAGUUGUGAUUUCACAUUCUAUUUUCUCAAUUUGUAUUUUUUUUCAUUUAUCUCUGGAUUCACCGUCAAUUUGGCAUCUAAAAGCCCAUUUUUCUUCUUUCUUCCGAAUACAACGAGAUUUUUGGUUUGUAAGUUUUAUGGCUUUUUUGUUUGAUCAUGGUUUCUGAGUUUUCUGGGUUCUUUGAUUGGAAUAACACAUGGAGAUUUAUGUUAUAACAAACAUGUUAAUUAUGGAUCUAGUUAAUUAAGCAUUCUUGAAAAAUUAAUUAUAUAUUUGUUUCUCUAAUUGGUUUUAAGAGAGUAAUAAGGGUAAAUAGGGAAACUAAAAAAUGCAAAUAAAUUUAUUAAAAAAUGAUUGAAUGUGACAUGGAAUUACUAUAAUCUGACAUGGAGGACUAUUUUUAGUUUUUAAUCUUACAUACGGUAUUAUUGAAAAAGUAAUCUUAUUUAGGGAUUAAAAUGAAGUUUUCUAAUAUAUAUAUACACCUACAUAUAAACACACACGCAUGCACAGCAUGCAUAUAUAUAUAUACACACAUAUAUAAACACACACACAGCAUGCAUAUAUAUAUAUAAUCCCACACACGCACAGCAUCAUGCAUAUAUAUAUAUAUAUAUAUAUAUAUAUAUAUAUAUAUAUAUAUAUAUAUAUAUAUAUAUAUAUAAUCACACACACGCACAGCAUGCAUACACACACAGCAUGCACCGUACCACACACACACUCUUGAACACACACACACACCUACGAACUCGCCGGAGUUCGUCGUCGGAACCGGGUUUUUGGCAUAGAGAAAAGGUAAGGUCAAAACCCUCGAUUUUGACCUUAAAACCAACACAAAUAACAUGAUUAACCCCAGAAAUUUGAAGAAAGAAAACAAGUAUCACCUGGGUUCGAAUUUGAGAGCUUCAAAGCUCACGGCAUCAAUGGUGAUUCACUUCACAAUGCCCCGAUGAUGCAUGCAAGACCAUAAUCUUGUUCCCCGAGUCCCAUAGGUUUAGAAUAUCAAGAUUUGGGGUUGAAUUGUGAAGAAAAUGGCACUGGUGGUGGCUGGGUUCUUUCUCGGCACCGGAGAGAAGGGAAAGAAAAGGAACGGAGAGAAUAAGAGGAAUGAAAACUGAGAGGGAAAAAUAGAGAACUUGGGGGAACAACAUUCAGGAGUGGGCCCCACGGUUCACCAUUUAAUAUAAAAAAACAAGUUUUUAAAUAGAAAUGGGUGAGGUGUUACA